rnacentral:rRNA from 1 species
UCGAGAAUCAUUCGCAAUGGGCGCAAGCCUGACGAUGCGACGCCGCGUGAGUGAAGAAGGCCUUCGGGUUGUAAAGCUCUUUCGCUAGGGAACAAGAGAGGGUGGCUAAUAUCCAUCUGAUUUGAGGGUACCUGGUAAAGAAGCACCGGCUAACUACGUGCCAGCAGCUGCGGUAAUACGUAGGGUGCUAGCGUUAAUCGGAUUUAUUGGGCGUAAAGGGCGCGUAGGUGGGUUGGAAAGUCAGAUGUGAAAUGCCGAGGCUCAACCUCGGACGUGCAUUUGAAACUUCCGAUCUAGAGGGUAGGCGGAGAAAACGGAAUUCCACAAGUAGCGGUGAAAUGCGUAGAUAUGUGGAAGAACACCGGUGGCGAAGGCGGUUUUCUAGCUUAUACCUGACACUGAGGCGCGAAAGCAAGGGGAUCAAACAGGAUUAGAUACCCCUGUAGUCC